GAGUUGGCCCAGACAAUCGCUGCCUGCGUAAGCAGGGGGAGGAAAGUCCGGGCUCCAUAGGGCAGAGUGCCAGGUAACGCCUGGGCGGCGCGAGCCGACGACUAGUGCAACAGAGAGCAAACCGCCGAUGGCCCUUGCGCAAGCAAGGGAUCAGGUAAGGGUGAAAGGGUGCGGUAAGAGCGCACCGCGCGGCUGGUAACAGUUCGUGGCACGGUAAACUCCACUCGGAGCAAGACCAAAUAGGCCCCCUUUGGCGCGGCCCGCGUUGGGGGCGGGUAGGUUGCUUGAGGCGUACGGUGACGUACGUCCUAGAGGAAUGAUUGUCCACGACAGAACCCGGCUUAACGGGCUAACUCACAC
rfam:Rheinheimera sp. A13L DRAFT__contig00005, whole genome shotgun sequence.